GUUGAACAAGGAAGUGCAGCGUGAAGUGAACUGAUUACAAACAAUUGCUGGCGAUAGCGGAUUACAACAAGUAGGAGGAUGACUGGACGCUGUAGUGACUCAUUGUUUUAACGGUUUAAUACUGGAGGGAGCGAUGGAUAAAGGAAAGGCCCGGUUACUACACAUCCUUCUUCUGGUGGCGAGGAAAACGAAAACCAUAUCCUGGCUUAGACCUCUACCUCCCACCCUUCUCCAAUGGAGAGAAAGGCUAGAGAGGGUUUACUUGAUGGAGAAAAUAACAGCGAAACUCCAUCUGAAAAUGGAUUUGUUUGUGGUUCUAUGGGCUCCUGUCAUU